UUUGGUGGCGAUAGCGAAGAGGUCACACCCGUUCCCAUUCCGAACACGGCAGUUAAGCUCUUCAGCGCCGAUGGUAGUUGGGGGUUUCCUCCUGUGAGAGUAGGACGCCGCCAAGC
rnacentral:rRNA from 1 species